rnacentral:rRNA from 1 species
CACUCCUGCGGGAGGCAGCAGUGGGGAAUAUUGGACAAUGGGCGCAAGCCUGAUCCAGCCAUGCCGCGUGAGUGAUGAAGGCCCUAGGGUUGUAAAGCUCUUUCACCGGUGAAGAUAAUGACGGUAACCGGAGAAGAAGCCCCGGCUAACUUCGUGCCAGCAGCCGCGGUAAUACGAAGGGGGCUAGCGUUGUUCGGAUUUACUGGGCGUAAAGCGCACGUAGGCGGACUAUUAAGUCAGGGGUGAAAUCCCGGGGCUCAACCCCGGAACUGCCUUUGAUACUGGUAGUCUUGAGUUCGAGAGAGGUGAGUGGAAUUCCGAGUGUAGAGGUGAAAUUCGUAGAUAUUCGGAGGAACACCAGUGGCGAAGGCGGCUCACUGGCUCGAUACUGACGCUGAGGUGCGAAAGCGUGGGGAGCAAACAGGAUUAGAUACCCCUGUAAUCCCA